rnacentral:sRNA from 1 species
ACCCACUCUAGUGCUUCUUCCACGGACAGACACGCAAAUUAAGCGUUUUAUAGCCCACCGUUUCGCAUUUCCAUUCAACUCCCAGCAGACACGUGCUUCACACGUCACACACCACCUUCCCCUAAGUAACCCACUUCUUCCUGACCCGUAAAUCACUGAGGCCUCAAUUUAAGAAUAUCUUUUCUUACUGCACCCCGUGUUUCCUCCUUAUACUCCCAUCUUUUUAAAUACUCA